rnacentral:rRNA from 1 species
UACAGAGGGGGCAAGCGUUAUUCGGAAUUAUUGGGCGUAAAGGGCGCGUAGGCGGCCAUUCAAGUGACGGGUGAAAUCCCUCGGCUUAACCGAGGAACUGCCUGUCAGACUGGGCGGCUUGAGACCGGGAGAGGUGAGUGGAAUUCCCAGUGUAGCGGUGAAAUGCGUAGAUAUUGGGAGGAACACCAGUGGCGAAGGCGGCUCACUGGACCGGAACUGACGCUGAGGCGCGAAAGCGUGGGGAGCAAACAGG